rnacentral:lncRNA from 1 species
CUUGGGGCCAGCUGGGGCCAGACGGGGUCUCCAGGCUGCAAGUCCUUGCCAGUCCUGUCCCUGCUGCCCUCUGUGACAAUUUCUGCCGAUUCAGCAUCAACGGUUUGUCCCGCAGCUGCCGUGCAAACAAAUCUCAGCCAUCAGAUGUUCCCUGAAGCACAGAGUCCCGUUCUCAGAAGCCAACCGAGCUGUGCUUCUGGGCAGUGCUCUCUCACUUCGUGGCCAGGACGUCGGCUGUGACUCUCCUCUUUCCUGAGGAGCAUCUUCAGCUGAUCCACGUCCUGCAUGGUGCUGCAGGUGGGGCAGCAAGAUACGCUUGUGACAUGAGAGUCUUGACACAUGUGAGUGUUUCUUAUAUACCACCCAUCUCUAAGUAUUGGGAAUACGCAGGGGAAACAAAGACAUUUCUCUGUUAUACGGUUUUCAAGGCCUAUCAGUUCUACUUCUACUGACACUAGAGCUGCAAUUAAAGAGAGAACUGACUGUGUUCUCUUGUGGUCGGUGAGAAUAGAUGUUAGCAGAUCCCAAGAAUCAUGUCAAAGGUUUAUAUGACAAAGGGAAAAAUUGUUAAAUCGAUGCCUGGAAAGAAGGGAAAGGAAGAGGAGAGGACCUGGGAAACUAGACCUUAAAUGACUUCUGGAUUUGAUGUGCUGCCAUGUUAUCAUUACCUUUCAUCUCUUCAACAUCUUCCUUCUUUAAAAACAUUAUGUACAACAACUAUAAUAGGCAUCUGUUGUUGUGCUUAUUGGCUGGCAUCUAAUUCCUCUCUUAUCCAAAAUUGUUGUCCAAUUUUGUUUUGGGGUACCAAAUCUCUCCUGAUGGCAGCUAUGUGUUUUGAAUAGUCUCUACCCUACUUUUAGUUACAGCCUUGAGUCAUCAUCAACUAAACCCAGUCAACAAUCCUUUUCUUCUAGCUAUUCCAAACUUUAAUCAGAGUCAAUGAGACACAAGAUGUUUACUUAUGUUUCUAGAACAUGGAUGUUUUCUCUCUUCUCAUGGUUGAUAUGGUGUGAGCAUGCAAUAUUUGGAACUGUAGUAACCAUUGGUUAUACCAGGCCUAUUACCAGCCCAGAGCUGUUGAUAGGCCCCUUUGGAGAGCCUGAGGACACAGUAAAUACCACCGAUAGAAAAGCAAAGGGACAGAGAAGAAUGGAGUUUUUGUGACCACUUUCAAGCCACUGGAUCAAGCCUUUCCUGGAUUCAGAGCUGCCUCUGGAUUUGCAGUAACAUGAGCCAAGUAUGUAUUUCCAUUAGAAGUUUCAAGCUAAUUUGAGUGGAGAUUUCUAUUCCUUGCAACUGAAAAAAUUAACAAAAAACACUUGAUAUGUAGGGAUUUCUGAAUGAAUCAGAAAUGUUUUGAUUUAUCACAAUUUUCAGAUUAGAAAAGUGAUGGUUAGGAAAGAGUGGAAAUUGGGAUAGGAAGUUAGAAUCGACUUGUAGCGGGUGGGACAUUUGAUAACAGAAGGAGAAUUGACUGCAUCACGAUUUUGGGGAAUGGGUAGGAGUUACCACUUCUAAACAGACACUCUUUCCUACCAAAGAUCCUUAGAACUGAGAAAAGGUAUCUUUCAUGACUAUAGUGGGUGGUGGAAACAUUGGUUAUAAAAUGUCUGUAAGAUCUAAUAUUGAUUAUGACUUGUUGAAAGGAUGUGAUAUACAGUUUAUAUUGAGUGAACUGCUUUAUAAUUUCCAACCCAAAUGAAAUUUUUUUG